rnacentral:rRNA from 1 species
GACGAACGCUGGCGGCGUGCCUAACACAUGCAAGUCGAACGAGGUCCAUGCAGUGGCAACACUGCGGAAGACCUAGUGGCGAACGGGUGAGUAACACGUGAGGAACCUGCCCCGAAGACCGGGAUAACUCUCCGAAAGGAGUGCUAAUACCGGAUACCCCCACCUGGCCGCAUGACCGGGUGAGGAAAUGGAUUCCGCUUCGGGAGGGCCUCGCGGCCUAUCAGCGAGUUGGUGGGGUAACGGCCCACCAAGGCAUCGACGGGUAGCUGGUCUGAGAGGACGAUCAGCCACACUGGGACUGAGACACGGCCCAGACUCCUACGGGAGGCAGCAGUGGGGAAUCUUGCGCAAUGGGCGAAAGCCUGACGCAGCAACGCCGCGUGGGGGAUGAAGGCUCUCGGGUCGUAAACCCCUUUCAGCAGGGACGAAUCAAGACGGUACCUGCAGAAGAAGCCCCGGCUAACUACGUGCCAGCCGCCGCAGUAACAC